UACGUAGGGGGCAAGCGUUGUCCGGAAUUAUUGGGCGUAAAGGGCGCGUAGGCGGCUUUGCAAGUGACGGGUGAAAUCCCUCGGCUUAACCGAGGAACUGCCUGUCAAACUGCCUGACUUGAGUCCGGUAGGGGCGAGUGGAAUUCCUGGUGUAGCGGUGAAAUGCGCAGAUAUCAGGAGGAACACCGGUGGCGAAGGCGGGUCUCUGGGCCGAUACUGACGCUGAGGAGCGAAAGCGUGGGGAGCGAACAGG
rnacentral:rRNA from 1 species